rnacentral:rRNA from 1 species
AGAGUUUGAUCAUGGCUCAGGAUGAACGCUGGCGGCGUGCUUAACACAUGCAAGUCGAACGAUGAAGCCCAGCUUGCUGGGUGGAUUAGUGGCGAACGGGUGAGUAACACGUGAGUAACCUGCCCUUAACUCUGGGAUAAGCCUGGGAAACUGGGUCUAAUACCGGAUAGGAGCGUCCACCGCAUGGUGGGUGUUGGAAAGAUUUAUCGGUUUUGGAUGGACUCGCGGCCUAUCAGCUUGUUGGUGAGGUAAUGGCUCACCAAGGCGACGACGGGUAGCCGGCCUGAGAGGGUGACCGGCCACACUGGGACUGAGACACGGCCCAGACUCCUACGGGAGGCAGCAGUGGGGAAUAUUGCACAAUGGGCGCAAGCCUGAUGCAGCGACGCCGCGUGAGGGAUGACGGCCUUCGGGUUGUAAACCUCUUUCAGUAGGGAAGAAGCGAAAGUGACGGUACCUGCAGAAGAAGCACCGGCUAACUACGUGCCAGCAGCCGCGGUAAUACGUAGGGUGCGAGCGUUAUCCGGAAUUAUUGGGCGUAAAGAGCUCGUAGGCGGUUUGUCGCGUCUGUCGUGAAAGUCCGGGGCUUAACCCCGGAUCUGCGGUGGGUACGGGCAGACUAGAGUGCAGUAGGGGAGACUGGAAUUCCUGGUGUAGCGGUGGAAUGCGCAGAUAUCAGGAGGAACACCGAUGGCGAAGGCAGGUCUCCUGGGCUGUAACUGACGCUGAGAGCGAAA